rnacentral:rRNA from 1 species
UACGUAGGGGGCGAGCGUUGUCCGGAAUCAUUGGGCGUAAAGGGUGCGCAGGUGGUCGGGUAAGUCUGAUGUGAAAUCCCGCAGCUCAACUGCGGAAUGGCAUUGGAUACUAUUUGGCUAGAGGGUUGGAGGGGGGACUGGAAUUCUCGGUGUAGCAGUGAAAUGCGUAGAUAUCGAGAGGAACACCAGUGGCGAAGGCGAGUCCCUGGACAACUCCUGACGCUGAGGCACGAAAGCUAGGGGAGCAAACAGG